CCUCCGGUGGCCUAGUGGUUAGAACGUCCGCCUCGGAUGCGGGGGGUCGUGGGUUCGAUCUCCAGCCGAAUCA